UACAACUUUCAGCAACGGAUCUCUUGGCUCUCGCAUCGAUGAAGAACGCAGCGAAAUGCGAUAAGUAAUGUGAAUUGCAGAAUUCAGUGAAUCAUCGAAUCUUUGAACGCACCUUGCACUCCUUGGUAUUCCGAGGAGUAUGCCUGUUUGAGUCUCAU
rnacentral:rRNA from 1 species